rnacentral:rRNA from 1 species
UACGAAGGGGGCUAGCGUUGCUCGGAAUCACUGGGCGUAAAGCGCACGUAGGCGGCUUUCUAAGUCAGGGGUGAAAUCCUGGAGCUCAACUCCAGAACUGCCUUUGAUACUGGGAGCUCGAGUCCGGGAGAGGUGAGUGGAACUCCGAGUGUAGAGGUGAAAUUCGUAGAUAUUCGGAAGAACACCAGUGGCGAAGGCGGCUCACUGGCCCGGAACUGACGCUGAGGUGCGAAAGCGUGGGGAGCAAACAGG